rnacentral:rRNA from 1 species
UAGGGAAUCUUCGGCAAUGGGGGCAACCCUGACCGAGCAACGCCGCGUGAGUGAAGAAGGUUUUCGGAUCGUAAAGCUCUGUUGUAAGAGAAGAACGUGUGUGAGAGUGGAAAGUUCACACAGUGACGGUAACUUACCAGAAAGGGACGGCUAACUACGUGCCAGCAGCCGCGGUACUACGUAGGUCCCGAGCGUUGUCCGGAUUUAUUGGGCGUAAAGCGAGCGCAGGCGGUUUAAUAAGUCUGAAGUUAAAGGCAGUGGCUUAACCAUUAGUCGCUUUGGAAACUGUUAAACUUGAGUGCAGAAGGGGAGGGUGGAAUUCCAUGUGUAGCGGAGAAAUGCGUAGAUAUAUGGAGGAACACCGGUGGCGAAGGCGGCUCUCUGGUCUGAAACUGACGCUGAGGCUCGAAAGAAUAGGGAGCAAACAGG